rnacentral:piRNA from 1 species
UGGUAGGUUGUGAACCCAAGUGUUCAGUUC